GUUCUAAUGAAACUCUGUUGGUUGUGUAGAAGAUGCGAUUUUGCACACACUGCUUGACUUGCUAGUGGGAAUGAAGCUUCAUCAGCUGAACUUCCGUCUUCAGAUAAAGCAGUACAGGUAACGGAGACCUCUUCUCCUUCCCAUCCAGUAAGACGAGGCAGAUAGAGCCUGCUAUUACUGAAGGGCCACGGCAUCUUUCUGUCUGAAAUUUGGUAGGCUUCAGAAGGGGUGACCAUGCCUGCAAUUUGCAUCCAAUUCUAGGAGGGGGAAAAAGUUUAAAGGUUUCCUGCAUGAAAGCUCCUGGAUGAAUCUGCCUGAAAUAUGGAAAACUUGUUUUAUUCUAGAGCAGGCAUAGGCAAACUCGGCCCUCCAGAUGUUUUUGGACUACAACUCCCACCAUCCCUAGCUAACAGGACCAGUGGUCAGGAAUGAUGGGAGUUGUAGUCCCAAAACAUCUGGAGGGCCGAGUUUGCCUAUGCCAGUUCUAGAGGGACUCAUUUCUCUGCAAGUUCCACCCAUCUAUGUGGGGGGAAAGAUUAGGGCCAUUUCUAGAUUCCCUAUUAUAACCUAUUUGGGAGGGUAGAGGCAGAGCCUCAGAUUUAACAGAUGCUACAGAUAUAAGACAAAUUUUGUGGUCGCUGCAUACCCAAAAUUUUAAUUUCCUCUGCCCACCCUAGCAUUACGUUAAUUUUGUAUUUCUUUUGGCCACCAUCAACAAAAUUUGAAGUUGAGGGAACAUCAGGUCCCCAGGUUUCAGCACCCCUGGCCUAAAUACCUUUCCUAGGAGAUAACUUGGUAAUUAUUUGCCAACACUUGACCAAUAUAUUAUCAGUAAAGGUAAAGGGACCCCUGACCGUUAGGUCCAGUCACGAAUGACUCUGGGGUUGUGGCACUCACCUGGUCGAGGGAGCUGGGUCAUGUGGCCAGCAUGACUAAGUGACUUCUGGCGAACCAGAGCAGCAUACGGAAACACCUUCCUGCCGGAGCGGUACCUGUUUAUCUACUUGCACUUUGACGUGCUUUCGAACUGCUAGGUUGGCAGGAAUAGGGACCAAGCAAUGGGAGCUCACCCCAUCGCGGGGAUUCGAACUGCUGACCUUCUGAUUGGCAAGUCCUAGGCUCUGUGGUUUAGACCACAGCGCCACCCGCCAAAUGCCAAAAUUAAUUAGACCAGGUUUUUUGUAAUGUUGGCUAACUCUCUUUAGUUACUGCUUCUCUUCUUUCUGUUUUUGGUUUCACUACAGUUUUCAGUAAUGUUUGGAGGUUGUAAAUAAUGAUGAUGAUGAUGAUGAUAAUUAUAAAUCUAUAUCCUGCCCUUCCUCCCAAAGGAAACUAGGCCAGUAUGCUGAUUGGGGUUUUGAAAUUUGGGGUCUGUCAGCUGCCCUGCAAAUUGCAAAACUGAAGGAUAGGAUGGCAAGCAUUUCAAAUAAAAUAACUUUUAUUUUACCCUGUAACAGUGAGUUACAGGAGCAAACAUUAUUUAGCAUUUGAAAGAAUAGUUACACCAAUCUUCUCGAUUAUUUGGAAAUUACUGAGUCACCACCAUCUUUACUGAUAAAAGUUAAGUUUUCCAAUCGAACACAUGAUGGUGCUAAAGUACAAGAAAUGAGGCAGGUAGAUUGGAGUGUUUGAGGAAAGGCAGGAGUAAGGGAAUCAUGUUCAUCUCUUCCGUAACACCAAUAAACCAACCAGCAAACCAGGCAAUAGCACUGACAGUUUGUGGGCACUUCAACCCAAAGAGAUGUAUUAACAAUUUCUGAAUUUUCCAUUCAUUUUGGAAUUAUCAGUCCCAUCCAAGCACUUAUGGAGAGUGACAUCUGUACUUUUGGAGCUUUUCUUCCUUAAAAUUACAGCGAAGCGAGCUGAGCUGUCUUGGUGUUUGUGGGCGCAGGAUACAAAUAGAAUGGAUUUCAAAGUUAGUUGCAAAUCACUGUCAUGGCCUGGCUGGGUCAGGAUGCAGGAUGCAGAGAGCACAUUGUCUGAGGACCCGGGGGAGGGCUCCAGUGGGAUGUGGGGAGUCGGGGACCUCUGCUGGGAUUGGAGCAGCCUAUUAGUGGGGAUGGAGGGGGGCAGGGGUGCCAAUCUGAAUAAAAUAUUGGGGGGACUGCCCCACAGAACUGAUUGCAUGACAUGGCACAAACACACCAUUUGAAUGGCAUUGCCCAUCAACUUUGGGGGGCAGCCCCCUCAAAUAUUUUAUUGGGGGGGACCGAAGGGACCUUGACCACUACCAGUUGGCUUCUGCAAGAGAUUGGGCAAAGGAGGAAUGUUGGAGACCGCCUCUCCCGCCGGAGUGGAACCUAUUUAUCUACUUGCACGUUGACAUGCUUUCAAACUGCUAGGUUGGCAGGAGCAGGGACCAAGCAACAGGAGCUCACCCCGUCUCGGGGAUUCAAACCGCAGACCUUCUGAUCAGCAAGCCCAAGAGGCUCAGUGGUUUAGACCACAGCGCCACCCGCCAAAUGCCAAAAUUAAUUAGACCAGGUUUUUUGUAAUGUUGACUAACUCUCUUUAGUUACUGCUUCUCUUCUUUCUUCUUCAGAGAAGAAGACAGUUCAGAUUUACAACAAGGGAGAGAGGCCACAACUCAAAGGCAGAUGAGAGAGAAAGCUAGGAAAUAAUGGGAGAGGAGGAGGAGGAAGAGGAAGCACCAGG